rnacentral:misc_RNA from 1 species
AACGCACAUUGCGCCUCGAGGUAUUCCUCGAGGCAUGCCUGUUUGAGCGUCGGCCCCCCCUCUAACCUUCGGGUUAGGCGUUGCCACGAAAUUGCAAGCGACAUCAAUCUCAUGUUUUUGAUGACGCCCCCCCUUUUUCGCCCUCAAAUCAGGUAGGACUACCCGCUGAACUUAA